AACCUGCCUCAUACAGGGGGAUAACAGUUGGAAACGGCUGCUAAUACCGCAUAAGCGCACAGUACCGCAUGGUACCGUGUGAAAAACUCCGGUGGUAUGAGAUGGACCCGCGUCUGAUUAGCUAGUUGGUGGGGUAACGGCCUACCAAGGCGACGAUCAGUAGCCGACCUGAGAGGGUGACCGGCCACAUUGGGACUGAGACACGGCCCAA
rnacentral:rRNA from 1 species